rnacentral:rRNA from 1 species
CAGUAGCCACGGUAAUACGAAGGGGGCUAGCGUUGUUCGGAUUUACUGGGCGUAAAGCGCACGUAGGCGGAUCGAUCAGUCAGGGGUGAAAUCCUGGAGCUCAACUCCAGAACUGCCUUUGAUACUGUCGAUCUCGAGUCCGGAAGAGGUGAGUGGAACUCCUAGUGUAGAGGUGGAAUUCGUAGAUAUUAGGAAGAACACCAGUGGCGAAGGCGGCUCACUGGUCCGGUACUGACGCUGAGGUGCGAAAGCGUGGGGAGCAAACAGGAUUAGAUACCCCAGUAGUCCCUGUCUCUUAUAC